rnacentral:lncRNA from 1 species
CCGCGCUCCGGAAGUGGCUGAGAGCGGCGAGCGGGGCGCUGGCCUGCUGCGGGGCGCCAGCGUCGUUUCGCCUGGUUCGGUGGUUCUGAGCUCUGGGUACCUUACCGGUUAACUGGCGUUUCCCACAGCGCACACUCAAGUCUCCCUGGGUGGAGGGCGUACUAGCUCCAGCAGCCCGCGCUGCGAGCCCUGCAGCUCCGCCUCCGCCGGACGCCGGGAGUGGGCCCCGGAGUCGGGAGCGGCCUCGGCCUGCUCUCCUGGAGCAGCAGGGUUAGGCCUGCAGUGGGGAGAAGGGAACGAAUAAGCAGCCCGUGGUGCACAGACUGGAAAACCUGUUGUGUAUUGUUCAACUGCAAUGAAAAGCAGUUUCAAGCGAAAGGCUUGAAAAAUUGCUUGACACACAGCGACCUGCACUUACAGGCCUACUGACCAUAUAUGCUAAAGCGUUUUGCUCAGAGACUUAUUUAGGAAGUAGAGACACAUAAAAGGGAGGAUGCAGGCUAUCUCCAGAAUGAGAUGCCCCUCCUUGAGUUGGGUUCCAGUAUUUAGAGGGGCAGUAGUCAGGGGCCGGACUGGAGGUGGAGCCACAGGGGGACUUGGGGCCUGUCACUCAUCAGUUGCAAGGCCUCCUGAGUGUUUUCUGCAUCUCAGAGGCUCAGGGGUGUUUCCUUUGAGACACAGUAUAUCUCUUUACCUAAAUCGCCAUCUCAUCAUCCUCACAAAGGUUUGGUGAAGGGUGAAGAUUUGACUUCUAUGGCUGCUUCAGGGUGGCAAGGAGCAAUGACCUUGUCCCUUCCGGAUUAGUAGUCUCAACCUGACCUACAGGAAAUGGCUGUGGGAAUGGGUUAGAAUUCUUACACGGCCAUGCUUUUUAACAUGAAAUUGUAAUCUAGAAGAGACAAAAAGGCCACCAAGAGAUGUCAUGGGAGAAAAGAUGUCUCCAGAGAAGGGUCUGAGGCAUUCCCAGAGGAGCUGGGGAAUUCGACUGGGGGAGGGGGGAGUUGGAUCUUAGCAUAGGUGAUAGAAAAG